UACGGAGGGUGCGAACGUUGCUCGGAAUCAUUGGGCGUAAAGCGCACGUAGGCGGCGGCGUAAGCGGGAUGUGAAAGCCCAGGGCUCAACCCUGGAAGUGCAUCCCGAACUGUGUCGCUUGAAUCUCGGAGGGGGACAGAGAAUUCCCGGUGUAGAGGUGAAAUUCGUAGAUAUCGGGAGGAAUACCAGUGGCGAAGGCGCUGUCCUGGACGAAGAUUGACGCUGAGGUGCGAAAGCGUGGGGAGCAAACAGGG
rnacentral:rRNA from 1 species